GGAGAGAUGGCUCAGUGGUUAAGAGCACUGGCUGUUCCUCCAGAGGACCUGGGUUCAAUUCCCAGCACCC
rnacentral:tRNA from 1 species